rnacentral:rRNA from 1 species
AACGCGAAGAACCUUACCUGGGCUUGACAUCCUCUGAACAUCUAAGAGAUUAGGUUUCCGGGCAACCGGACAGAGAGACAGGUGCUGCAUGGCUGUCGUCAGCUCGUGCCGUGAGAUGUUGGGUUAAGUCCCGCAACGAGCGCAACCCUUGUCCUGUGUUGCCAUCAUUCAGUUGGGAACUCGCAGGAGACCGCCAGCGAUAAGCUGGAGGAAGGUGGGGAUGACGUCAAGUCCUCAUGGCCUUUAUGUCCAGGGCUACACACGUGCUACAAUGGACGGUACAAUACGUCGCUAACCCGCGAGGGGGAGCCAAUCGCUAAAAACCGUUCUCAGUUCGGAUUGCAGGCUGCAACUCGCCUGCAUGAAGCUGGAAUCGCUAGUAAUGGCAGAUCAGCACGCUGCCGUGAAUACGUUCCCGGGCCUUGUACACACCGAGUAUA